rnacentral:rRNA from 1 species
CCAAACACAUAAAGUUGUCCUUAUUGGGGUUGAGGACAUAUCAUAACGAGGAGGUUUCGGAAUUAAAGAGGUUUGGAAAGCUCCACCACAGAAGGUAAUAGGCCUGUAUGUUAAACGAGAAGCCUUUAGAUAUGAUCCAGAGUAACACGGGACACGUGAAACCCUGUGGGAAGCAGGAGGGACCACCCGCCAAGGCUAAAUACUACCUAGUGACCGAGAGCGUAUAGUACCGUGAGGGAAAGGUGAAAAGAACCCCGGGAGGGGAGUGAAAUAGAACCUGAAACCCUGCACUUACAAGCUGGGGAAGCACAUUUCUUGUGUGACGGCGUACUUUUUGUAGAACGGGCCAACGAGUUACGUUAAGUAGCAAGGUUAAGCACUUAAGGUGUGGAGCCGUAGCGAAAGCGAGUUUUAACUGAGCGUUCAGU